rnacentral:tRNA from 1 species
GGAGAGGUGUCCGAGUGGUCGAAGGUGACUGAUUCGAAAUCAGUUAGGCGCAAGCCUCGAGGGUUCGAAUCCCUCCCUCUCCCCCA